AUGAAGAAAAGCUUAUCGAUUGUGUUUUUUAUGAUCAUGCUUGUGAUGUCGUCACAACUAUGUUUUGUUCAUGGCAGAGAUCUUCGAGCCAAGAAGUUUAGAAAAGAUGAGGUGACUUCUUUUGUGUCUUCUAACAAGUUCAACAAUAAUGCUGCAAAUCGUAAUGUUGGUUUCAUACUUGCUUCUGGACCAAGCAAAAAAGGCAAAGGACAUUAG